AAAGAUUAAGCCAUGCAUGUCUAAGUAUAAGCAAUUAUACCGUGAAACUGCGAAUGGCUCAUUAAAUCAGUUAUCGUUUAUUUGAUAGUACCUUACUACUUGGAUAACCGUGGUAAUUCUAGAGCUAAUACAUGCUGAAAACCCCAACUUCGGAAGGGGUGUAUUUAUUAGAUAAAAAACCAACGCCCUUCGGGGCUUCUUGGUGAUUCAUGAUAACUUUACGGAUCGCAUGGCCUUGCGCCGGCGACGGUUCAUUCAAAUUUCUGCCCUAUCAACUUUCGAUGGUAAGGUAUUGGCUUACCAUGGUUCAACGGGUAACGGGGAAU
rnacentral:rRNA from 1 species